rnacentral:rRNA from 1 species
GACGAGGGGUCCUAGCGUUGUUCGGAAUCACUGGGCGUAAAGCGUAUGUAGGCGGCUUUUCAAGUCAGGUGUGAAAUCCCAUGGCUUAACCAUGGAACUGCAUUUGAAACUGUAAAGCUUGAGUAUUGGAGAGGAUGGUAGAAUUCCUGGUGUAGUGGUGAAAUACGUAGAUAUCAGGAGGAAUACCGGUGGCGAAGGCGGCCAUCUGGCCAAAUACUGACGCUGAGAUACGAAAGCGUGGGGAGCAAACAGG